rnacentral:rRNA from 1 species
GGCUCAGGAUGAACGCUAGCUACAGGCUUAACACAUGCAAGUCGAGGGGCAGCAUUUUAGUUUGCUUGCAAACUAAAGAUGGCGACCGGCGCACGGGUGAGUAACACGUAUCCAACCUGCCGAUAACUCGGGGAUAGCCUUUCGAAAGAAAGAUUAAUAUCCGAUAGCAUAUUGAGAUCGCAUGAUUUUGAUAUUAAAGAAUUUCGGUUAUCGAUGGGGAUGCGUUCCAUUAGUUUGUUGGCGGGGUAACGGCCCACCAAGACUACGAUGGAUAGGGGUUCUGAGAGGAAGGUCCCCCACAUUGGAACUGAGACACGGUCCAAACUCCUACGGGAGGCAGCAGUGAGGAAUAUUGGUCAAUGGACGAGAGUCUGAACCAGCCGAGUAGCGUGAAGGAUGACUGCCCUAUGGGUUGUAAACUUCUUUUAUAUGGGAAUAAAGUAUUCCACGUGUGGGAUUUUGUAUGUACCAUAUGAAUAAGGAUCGGCUAACUCCGUGCCAGCAGCCGCGGUAAUACGGAGGAUCCGAGCGUUAUCCGGAUUUAUUGGGUUUAAAGGGAGCGUAGGUGGAUUGUUAAGUCAGUUGUGAAAGUUUGCGGCUCAACCGUAAAAUUGCAGUUGAAACUGGCAGUCUUGAGUACAGUAGAGGUGGGCGGAAUUCGUGGUGUAGCGGUGAAAUGCUUAGAUAUCACGAAGAACUCCGAUUGCGAAGGCAGCUCACUAGACUGCAACUGACACUGAUGCUCGAAAGUGUGGGUAUCAAACAGGAUUAGAUACCCUGGGUAGUCCACACAGUAAACGAUGAAUACUCGCUGUUUGCGAUAUACAGUAAGCGGCCAAGCGAAAGCAUUAAGUAUUCCACCUGGGGAGUACGCCGGCAACGGUGAAACUCAAAGGAAUUGACGGGGGCCCGCACAAGCGGAGGAACAUGUGGUUUAAUUCGAUGAUACGCGAGGAACCUUACCCGGGCUUAAAUUGCAUUUGAAUAAUCUGGAAACAGGUUAGCCGUAAGGCAAAUGUGAAGGUGCUGCAUGGUUGUCGUCAGCUCGUGCCGUGAGGUGUCGGCUUAAGUGCCAUAACGAGCGCAACCCUUAUCUUUAGUUACUAACAGGUUAUGCUGAGGACUCUAGAGAGACUGCCGUCGUAAGAUGUGAGGAAGGUGGGGAUGACGUCAAAUCAGCACGGCCCUUACGUCCGGGGCUACACACGUGUUACAAUGGGGGGUACAGAAGGCAGCUACCUGGUGACAGGAUGCUAAUCCCAAAAACCUCUCUCAGUUCGGAUCGAAGUCUGCAACCCGACUUCGUGAAGCUGGAUUCGCUAGUAAUCGCGCAUCAGCCAUGGCGCGGUGAAUACGUUCCCGGGCCUUGUACACACCGCCCGUCAAGCCAUGAAAGCCGGGGGUACCUGAAGUACGUAACCGCAAGGAGCGUCCUAGGGUAAAACUG